rnacentral:rRNA from 1 species
GUACCUACAGAAGAAGUCCCGGCAAACUCCGUGCCAGCAGCCGCGGUAAUACGGAGGGGGCAAGCGUUGUUCGGAAUUAUUGGGCGUAAAGGGCAUGUAGGCGGUUCGGUAAGUUAAAGGUGAAAUGCCAGGGCUUAACCCUGGAGCUGCUUUUAAUACUGCCAGACUAGAGUCCGGGAGAGGAUAGCGGAAUUCCUAGUGUAGAGGUGAAAUUCGUAGAUAUUAGGAGGAACACCAGUGGCGAAGGCGGCUAUCUGGUCCGGUACUGACGCUGAGGUGCGAAAGCGUGGG